rnacentral:tRNA from 1 species
GAGGGUAUAGCUCAGUAGUAGAGCGUGUGCUUAGUAUGCAUGAGGUCCUAGGUUCAAUCCCCCAGUACCUCUA